GACGAACGCUGGCGGCGUGCUUAACACAUGCAAGUCGAGCGGUAAGGCCCUUUCGGGGGUACACGAGCGGCGAACGGGUGAGUAACACGUGGGUGACCUGCCCUCAGCUCUGGGAUAAGCCUGGGAAACUGGGUCUAAUACUGGAUAUGACUCCACGGUGCAUGUCGUGGGGUGGAAAGCCUUGUGCGGCUGGGGAUGGGCCCGCGGCCUAUCAGCUUGUUGGUGGGGUGAUGGCCUACCAAGGCGACGACGGGUAGCCGGCCUGAGAGGGCGACCGGCCACACUGGGACUGAGACACGGCCCAGACUCCUACGGGAGGCAGCAGUGGGGAAUCUUGCGCAAUGGGCGAAAGCCUGACGCAGCGACGCCGCGUGAGGGAUGACGGCCGU
rnacentral:rRNA from 1 species